rnacentral:rRNA from 1 species
UACGUAGGGCGCAAGCGUUAUCCGGAAUUAUUGGGCGUAAAGAGCUCGUAGGCGGUUUGUCGCGUCUGCCGUGAAAGUCCGGGGCUCAACUCCGGAUCUGCGGUGGGUACGGGCAGACUAGAGGUGAUGUAGGGGGAGACUGGAAUUCCUGGUGUAGCGGUGAAAUGCGCAGAUAUCAGGAGGAACACCGGUGGCGAAGGCGGCCUGCUGGGCAGUUACUGACACUGAUGCGCGACAGCGGUGGGGAAGCAAACAGG